AACGAACGCUGGCGGCAUGCCUAACACAUGCAAGUCGAACGAGGCCUUCGGGUCGGGUGGCUCACGGGUGCGUAACUCGGGAGAACCUGCCCUAACGGUCGGAAUAACUCCCCGAAAGGGGGGCUAAUACCGGUAAAUGUCGUCGGACCACAGAUUUAUCGCCUUUGGAUGGGCCCGCGUUGUAUUAGCUAGUUGGUAGGGUAAAAGCCUACCAAGGCGACGAUCCAUAGCUGGUCUGAGAGGAUGAUCAGCCACACUGGGACUGAGACACGGCCCAGACUCCUACGGGAGGCAGCAGUGGGGAAUAUUGGACAAUGGGCGAAAGCCUGAUCCAGCAAUGCCGCGUGAGUGAUGAAGGCCUUAGGGUUGUAAAGCUCUUUUACCCGGGAUGAUAAUGACAGUACCGGGAGAAUAAGCUCCGGCUAACUCCGUG
rnacentral:rRNA from 1 species